rnacentral:snRNA from 1 species
UUGUACUUGACAGCAUAUAUACUAAAAUUGAAAUGACAGAGAAAGCUAGCAUGACUUAUGAGGAUGACACAUAAAUUUGUGAAGAAUUCUAUGUAUUU